rnacentral:rRNA from 1 species
GACAGAGGGGGCAAGCGUUGCUCGGAAUCACUGGGCGUAAAGGGCGCGUAGGCGGGCUGGCAAGUCAGUCGUGAAAUCUCUCGGCUCAACCGAGAAACGUCGGCUGAUACUGCCGUUCUUGAGGGAUGCAGAGGAGACUGGAAUUCCCGGUGUAGCGGUGAAAUGUGUAGAGAUCGGGAGGAACCCCGGUGGCGAAGGCGGGUCUCUGGGCAUCUCCUGACGCUGAGGCGCGAAAGCGUGGGGAGCAAACGGG